UACGGAGGGGGCUAGCGUUGUUCGGAAUUACUGGGCGUAAAGCGCGCGUAGGCGGACCUGCAAGUCGGGGGUGAAAGCCCGAGGCUCAACCUCGGAACUGCCUUCGAUACUGCGGGUCUCGAGUCCGGGAGAGGUGAGUGGAAUUCCUAGUGUAGAGGUGAAAUUCGUAGAUAUUGGGAGGAACACCAGUGGCGAAGGCGGCUCACUGGACCGGAACUGACGCUGAGGCGCGAAAGCGUGGGGAGCAAACAGG
rnacentral:rRNA from 1 species